GGUCACAGACAUGAUCAUUAAAAAAUGUCAUUCAUUGCUUACAAGUUUUCAUGUUUGCAGCAAAAGGUCAAUUACCAAUACCAUUCUUCAAAACUUCAAUUGCAAUAAUCAAAUAGGAAUGAAGAGAGACCACAACAAAAUUAAUCUUAUUAAGGAAGCACAAGUCCAAGGUCCAAUUAGUAGCAUCAAAUGACAAAAUAUAAAAAAAUUUAUUAAAC
rnacentral:misc_RNA from 1 species